rnacentral:rRNA from 1 species
UACGGAGGGUGCGAGCGUUGUCCGGAAUCAUUGGGCGUAAAGAGCGUGUAGGCGGCCCGGUAAGUCCGCUGUAAAAGUCCAGGGCUCAACCCUGGAAAGCCGGUGGAUACUGUCGGGCUAGAGUCCGGAAGAGGCGAGUGGAAUUCCUGGUGUAGCGGUGGAAUGCGCAGAUAUCAGGAAGAACACCCGUGGCGAAGGCGGCUCUCUGGAACGCAACUGACGCUGAGACGCGAAAGCGUGGGGAGCAAACAGG